AGCUAUUUUAUUGACAGUGGAAUAAAAAUGGCUUUCUGAAAAUAUUUGUUAAAAAGGACCAACAAAAUGCUUAAUAAGGUUCUUUAGGGAAUCCUUCCUACACUGUACAUGAUUUGGUAACUGCUCUGAUCACCAUGGCAACAUUUUCAUUUGUCCUUCCGCAUGUAUGGUUUUAACUGGAACAGCAAGGGAGGGGAAUAUAGGGCAUACAGCUUUAUUCUCAAAGGCUUUGUAACAACUUGCAUUUGUGGCUCAUCAUUAACAUUCCCAUCUAAAAUAACAAAAUUGCCACAGCUUAUUACAGUAUUGCAAGCAGCUUGCUUUCUGUUUCCAAUUAACAUUAGCAUCUGAGGUCCUGAGAUUGAAACAUUUCACAGUAGUUUUGAGCAGUGCUAGUUACAAGAGCUGCAUUUACAAAGAUCUGGUAUUAUUUUUUUCAGGAGAGGUGAAUGUCAUUAUUUUGGACUUAAGAUUUUUCUCCAAAAUUUUUCCUGAAGUAGUGAAGUGUUGGACUUCUUAUGUUUUUAAUAGCUGACUGUCAUAUUUGUGGUUUCUUUCAUCGGUUCAUAACCUAAUCAGCAGAUGUCUAUGAUGUAUCUGAAGAGGUUAAACAAUAUGAUAACUCAGUGGAAAACAGGCCCAGAAAAUAAUGCAUGCUGACUGCUUGCUGUGUGAGUUGGUGCUGUCAUCUCACGGAAUGAGAACUUCAGAAUGGAAGUUGGAUUCAAGAAGUUUUGGACAUAUUACUAGCAAUUCUUUCUUCAUAUCCUAGUGCUUGCUUGCUGUGAUGAAAUGACACUUCCCAAUGGUGGGUUAAUGGUAAAUUGCAAUGUCUCAGUAAUGCUUGGGGGGGCCAGCUUUUUUGCAUUCCUCAGAUUAAUCUCCUUGGUUUACCUUUAAUUUAAAAUGUUAUCACUGCAAUACUGAAAACUAUUUCCCUCCUCUCUAUUAUAUUCCAAAGUCCCCUUCUUUGCUUCCUACAGCACAUAUUAAAUUAGUAGCAGUGGGCUUAGCUUGGCAAGAUUUUUAAGCUAGCCUCUACAAAAUUGUGGUCAAAGAAGGGGAAAAAAUGGAAGGAAGUUUAAAUUAAGCUAUUCUAGGCCACACCAUAGAUUAAAAUAAAUGCAGACUUUGCUGUUAGUGACACAAAGGUAAAUAUAGGAGGUGUUGCCAACUGAUUUGGAAGGACAUCAUAACAAAGCAUUUUUGCAGUAAAUUACAAUAGGAUCAGCUCCAGCAGAAGGAAAGAAUACUUUAAAAACAACGGUCUGUAAAGGUGCAUUUUAAAGCCUGAAAUGUUAAUAUAGCAGUAAUUUGUCCUGUUGGAUUUCUGAUAUCAAAGGACUAGCAAAAGAUGUACUUUGCGAGGACCUCACUAUGUAGUUUUUCCUAUCUGUUCAUUGUUCAGGGGUAAAAAUCUGUGUACGUAAUUGUCCUAGAAAAUGCCAUAGUUAUGGCUCUUCUUUGAGUCUGCAUCAGAAUCUGGAUUUGUGUCUUCAAGGAGACUAAAGAAAACUUGGGGGAGGAGUGAUUCCUAAGAAAUAGAUGUUUCUUAUACUGAAAGCUAAUAAUACUUAAAGUCAUUAGACUCAAAUAGUACAGAAAUGUGUGAAAAAUAGUGGGCAAAACUACCAGAAUAAGUGCUAUAUCAAAUAUUACAGGCAUCCAUAUAUUUAAUCUUUUGGGAGAAUGAUAUUUGCAAUAAAUAUUGUGUAUCUAAUUGAAUUCAGAUUUAUAGCACUAUUAAAUUAAGUACAGCCAUAAAUAGCAGAACUGGUAUGGGAACAAUUUUUCUGUCUGUUAGGGGAAGAUGUGUGUCUGAGUUUGUCGAGUACAUUUACACCACUCACACUUGUGAACAAACAAAAUGAGCAGCUUUGCCCUAAAAUAGGGUCUUUUCUUUCCCAAAUUCCUGUUACAAGUAGAAAUUGCACAGGAUCGUCUAUUACUGCCAUCUACUGAUAAAGUGAUAAACAGCCAGCUGAAAGAGAAAAAAUAUCAACGUCAACUAGAAGUGACCUCAAAGGGGGAUUUUAAAUGAAUACCCAUACUUUUGGAAACAGCACUUCUGUUCCUGUGGUCUGCAUCGUGUAAGGUGUCACCCGUGGCUGUGGCACUGCUGCGGUGUGGUGCAGCCUUACCCUUCAGUUCCAGGCUUCUCAGUUCAGGAAAAGAAAAAAGCCAAAUAUGUGAUUUGGUUAAACAGGCCAGAUGUCUAGCUAAAAAAAGCAGCUUUAAAAGUUGUGGAAAUCUUUGGGUGUAUCAGUUGGAAUUGCUGCCUACUCCCAUCUUGAAUUUCAUUUUGCAGUUUUGCAUGUAACUUGGAUGCCUGUUCUUCAUUGCCACUGUCCAACCGGUUGUGCCACCACCUACGCUUUUGCCUUUUCCUGCCUUGAUCAGGUGAUGUGGCCACAAACAGCACUGAGGCCUGUUUCUAGGGCCACGCUGGCCCCCGUGCGACAGCUUUCAUGUCACUGACAGCCUCACUUCUCCUUCGCACUCAAACUUUGCUCCUGACUGCUGGGUUUUUCUGUUUUGGGGUGGGUUUUUUUUUCCCAAUUAUUGGAGUCUAUGCCAUAUACUUCCUCGUAUGCCAUGGCAUAAGUAAACAGUCAGAAGAGAGCUUAGGUCACUGCCUUCGCUUAGAAAGCAUUUUACAGAAAACGCACUAAGCGUGGCAUAAGGAUGUGUUUCAAAAGACCACCCAUUCCACAAAAUCUGUUUGUUGUGUAGCCUCUCUCUGUACCGUAUCCUGUUGUGCCUUUGAACUUCAGGCUGGGUGCCUCAGCCCUUCAUUCUUUCUGUAGCAUGCUCUAAAGAGAUGCGCAGGUUUUUUCAGUGAAAGGAAGGAAUGAGCCAAACUUUAUAGAAAAGAACCAUUGUGACUUUUUAAAAACCUUUCAAGUAGCAGUGACUUUAAAGAUCUUUACAGUGUAACAGCCUCUCUCUGGAAAGUGUGGCUCACGUGAUUUUUGGCUGUAAAAUUAUCCUUAAUUUUCUUGUUGCAAAGACUGUUCACUACCAUUGGUUCUUGUCCUGAUUCUUGUCUGAGAGGUUUCCCCCUGGAGAGCACACCAGCUUUUAUCCUUCUCAUCAGAACACAACACACAGAUUUCCUAUAUAUAUAUCUAUCUCUGCAGUGCUGAUAUGAAUAUAUUAGUCAUAUCCUUAAAAGAUCAAGUGAAAAAUCUUCAGAUGCUAAGAUUCUCAUGAAAAAAUACCUAACAGAAACUUUGAGAAUAUAAAGAAUGCUAUAGAUAAUAGCCUCUCUGAGGCCUUUUCUUCUUUCUCAGACAGCAUAUGCGUGUUUUGUUCUGGGAGUUUGCUGCAGACUCUGGGAAAUAACUGUAGAGAGCAACUGUGAGAUAUCUAUUCAUGAGAAAUUAGAAGGCCGUAAAAGUGAUUAUAUUUCUUUACAGUUCUGCCCAUACCAGCUAAACAAAUACUUGCAACAAGGUUGUGAACACAUUUGAGGAUAUUUAAACAGAAUCGGAAUAAAGGCAAAAAAUACAUUAAAAGAUCGUUAAAGAAGCUAAGUUAAGCAUUCAUUUAAGAAAUGUCAGAGCUAAAUUUGCUUAUGCAUUUUCUACUUGCCUGUCUCAUUUGUAUGCACUACUAUUCUAGAUUGCCAUUGCAGGAAUUCCCACAAGGCCCAGUAUAGGCAAUGCUCAGUUAAUGAGCAGUUACUCGAUACUAUUUUGGUGUCUUUAUUCAUUGUGCAGCCCCGGGCAUGAUUUACUCACAAAUUUCUGCUUUCAAUGUAGAGCUAUUCCCUGAUGAGCUUCUCUGUGGUGCUCGUCACGGAUGGCUUCACAAAGUGUCUCUACAGUAUCCUGGAGGAAUGUGAGGGUGGAACUAUUCCCAUCUUACAGUGAGAAGCUGAGGCAGAGCCUGAACAGAACGGGUGAGAUUGUCUGUACCUGCCUCUUCAGAGCACUUAGCUCUUUCAGCAUCUCAAACAGUGUUCCCAUUUGCUCAAGCUUCAGCUCCAAAUCCUCAGCUUUACAAACUGGAGUGACUUUGGCAAGUCAAACGCCCAAAAACUAAGGGGAAAAAGCAAUAUGAAAUGUUUCAUUUAAUGGUUUUCCUGCUAUCGCACAGGGGCAAUGACAGUGCCCAGUUCUCCCCAACAGCAAUUGACCCUUAGCCUUGUAACACUAUUUUGUGGUCCCAUCUCAUCCACCUCGCAUCUUCUGCAACAAACGAAGCGUCCACCUGGUGCAUUCUCCACCAGAGUAUGCCCAUCCUAAAGCGGGGUAAUCACCAUGAGGGGAAAAUAGCACUGAGUCAUGUAGUUAUUUUUUUAAAUGAAACAUAGUCUGAAUACUGUCUAUCCAGUGAUAAAUUAUAAUGAAAUGGUAAAUAAUACGUGGCAAAUCUUUGUAGUUCCCCCAACAGAUUAACUGUCUAUCAAGCUUGUGAUUAAAGUGUGUAUUUGCUGUCGUAGGUCUCAGCAGGACUUCCUAUAAACCUUAUUCUCUCUUGUACCUGCAUCCUGAAGUCUUUGUGCCACUUGUUAAAAAUAGCUGUAUAUUCACUGCACAUCAAGUAGCUUGCCCCACCAGCUGGCUGUUGCCUGACUGCUAGAUAUUUGCUGCUGUUCCACAUCUCUGCAGGACAUUCCUCUGUUUGCUCUCUGAGAUGUGCCUGUCAAGGUUUAGCUGCUACCAAAUAGGUAGUUUUGAGUCCAUUUCUGGUUUUGAUUGUCGUGAACAUGACAAGGAGUCAAAUAAGACACUGAAGUUUAUUCUUCUUGAAUGGUAUAUUUGGAUAACUGUGAUGUCCUGUGAGCCAAUUUUUUAUGGUAGUUAUCAGCUCUUGUGCAGGUUAGGCUGGGCAUGAUUUAAAUGAAGUGCAACUGAACAACACCUUCAUUCCAGAAGACGACAAGGAUAUUUUAAUUUACCUCUCUCUAGAAUAAGGGAUGGUGACUUGGUUAUCCACCAGGAUGCUCAUGUGACCACUUUGUCAGAAGAUGUGAAAUGUGAAGCUCCACCUUCCUGCAAAGGAAAGAGAGUUGAGGAAAGCUGGGUUUUCUUUGCCUGAAUGCAAUGCCGGAGCUUUUUGGUUGCUAGGUUCUCACAAUGCCAGUGAAAGGAAGACCCUACAGAAUAUUCUUGGACCUCGGAGAAGUUGGUCUAAACUGUGCCUUCUGCUACAAAUCAGAUCCAUGUGCCAAAACUGCUAAAACUUCUGUAUAGAAAACAUCAGGGAAGAAGAGCAAGUUACAGUGGUGUUUUGCUGACAUAAUUCAGAAAAACUGAAAGCCACUGCUCCAAAUGCAUGAGGAUACUAAAACUUCAUUAAAAAAAUGGUCAGCAAAAUAACAAAUAAUUUUAAACAAAACAAGCAGGUUUUUUUCUUAAUGUUCUUAGUUAACUUACUUAACUUUUCAGAAAUUAUUAAAUGAUUUUAGCUGAAACUUACCAAACAUUGCAGUGGUCAUUGUCACUGCAACCCUCAUUGUAAAGAAUUUCUUCUUUAUACCUAAUCUAAAUCUACCCUCUUGUAGUUUCAAACUGUUACCCUUCAUGCUAUCACUACAGGCCUGGUAAAAUGUCUCACUCCAUUUGUCUUAUAAGCCCCCUUUACGUAUUGAAAACCCACAAUAAGUUCUCCCUGGAGCUUCUGCAGGCUGAACAAGCCCAAGUCUCUCAGCUACUUGUUGCAGGAGGAAUGUUCCAGGCCUCUGACCAUUUUCUGGACCCACUCCAAUAGGUCCUUUCUUUUUUUGUGCUGGGGCCCUAGAGCUGGAGGCAGUAUCCAGGUGGGGUCUCAUGAGAGAGGAGUGAAGGGGGAGAAUCACCUCCCUGGACCUGUUGGCAACAGUUCUUUGGAUGCAGCCCAGGGUACGGUUGGCUGUCUAGGCUGUGGGUGCACAUUGCUGGCUCAUACCUAGUUUUCCAUCUACCAGUACCCCAAAGUGCUUCUCUGCAGGGCUGCUCUCAGUCCCUUCAUCUGCCAGUCUGUGCUGAUGCUGGAGGUUGUCUCGACCUGGGUGCAGCACCUUGCACUUGGCCUUCCUGAACUUCAUGAGGGUCACAUUGGCCCAUGUUUUAUGUUGGUUUCACGUUUUAUGUUGAUUCACAUUUGUUCAUAUUUUAUGAUCAACCAGUACGAAGGGGUUGCAAGAUUUAGUUCCGUUGCAACGGUGCCCUGAGGCAUUUAACCAACAUGAUGGAAAGAGUCAAAUCAAUGUGGUUUCUCUGAAGGAAAUACUGCCCCUUUGACCUUUUCAGUUCUCUGAAUUUAUUAAUAAAGGAGAAUGUAGUCAUACCAUA